rnacentral:rRNA from 1 species
UACAGAGGGUGCAAGCGUUGUUCGGAAUUACUGGGCGUAAAGCGCGUGUAGGCGGUUUCUCAAGUCAGUCGUGAAAUCCCUAGGCUUAACCUAGGAACUGCGAUCGAGACUACAAGACUAGAGUAUCGGAGGGGGUGGCGGAAUUCCCGGUGUAGAGGUGAAAUGCGUAGAGAUCGGGAGGAACACCUGUGGCGAAGGCGGCCACCUGGAAGAUUACUGACGCUGAGGCGCGAAAGCGUGGGGAGCAAACAGG